GCGGAGUAGAGCAGUAGCAGCUCGCCACCCUCAUAAGGUGGGGCGUGGGUGCAAUUCCCGCCUCUCGCA
rnacentral:tRNA from 1 species